GAGCAGAUGAUGAUAACAUAUGAUUUUGUCUGAUACAUUUGAUGUUUCAAAAUCGAGCUUUUUAAAACUGAUGCUCA